CAAUAGCUCAGCUGGAUAGAGCAUCAGACUUCGAAUCUGAGGGCCGCGGGUUCGAAUCCUGCUUGGC
rnacentral:tRNA from 1 species